GGGGAUGAAGCUCAGUUGGUAGAGUGCUUGCCUAGCUAGCAAAAAGUCCUGGAUUCAAUUUCCAGCACUUCA
rnacentral:tRNA from 1 species